ACAAUUGGUACUCACUCUCACCAGACUAUUCCCUUAAAGUGGGAGGUCAAGGGUUCGAGUAGUGGGGGAGGCGACCUAAUUUCCUAAGGGAAAUUUGGGCCAAAUCCACUUGGGGAAGGAUGCGUUUGACGAGAACCCAAGGGGACAAAUCCUGCCUGGAACCCGUGAGGGUGAAGGGAUGUUAAGAGCUGCUCACAGUGGCUGGGCCCAGAGGAAGGUCACGGGCUGUGAGCGGUAACAGUGCCGGGGAUCACGUCCGGGCUGUUACAAUGUGAUUUACUUGUGUUGUGAUGUUGUGAUGCAUUCCAUGAGAUCAUGUUUUAUAACAUGUUUUUAUGUACUACUCACUGGGCUAGUAUAGCUCACCCUCUCCCUCAACCCCAGUCUUGUAGGUACAGAGUUCAGAGAUGUAACAGCCCGGAAACCGAUACCCCUCUGUAACGGCCCGCACUACACAACAACAUAGCAUAACACAUAAUCACGCUUUCAUCACAAAACACACAUAAACAUACUUUUAAACCUAAUCAUGCAAACUCAUGCAUAAACUCCAUUUUCCCUUCAUAAAACUCAUGUAAAACAUCCUAAAAACUAAGGAUCCCCACUUACCUCUUGAAGAACAAAGGCUGGUGUGAUCCAAACUCAAGGCUAUGGAGGAUCUAAACUCCAAAGUCUCCAAAACCUUGCUCAAAGUUCAAAACCUUCAAAACCAAGAUAAACUCACUUAAAACUUACUUAAUCUUUGAAAGAUCUGAAGAAAACCAUGAAAACCCACCAAGGAGAACAAAACUCACCUCUGGUAGUGAAAAGGAAGUCAAUCUUAUCCUUUUCACUGACUGGGGGUGCCUAUAUAGAGAGCUGACCGACUCACCUUCGGCAGCCGAAACUGCAUGCGAAACCAUGCAACGUUCGAGGGCCGAACAUGAACUUCGGAAGCCGAACCAUAAGCACUUUCAGCGGCCGAACAUUACCUUCGGCGGCCGAACCUGCAUUUUGCCUCCUUGGUCUUUUCUCGUCAAAACUCAACUCUAACUCACUUUAACCCUUUAAAACACUUCAAAAAAAAAACAUUAAAACAUUUAAAAAUCUUUUAGAAAACCUUCACUCUACCCUUCUAGAAACCUCCGACAUCCUUGAAUCCCACCGGACGGUAAGAAUUCCGAUGCCUGAUCUAGCCGGGUAUUACAAGAGAGGUCAGCAGGGUACAGAUAAAGAGAAGAGUUAUGUAAUAGCUAGUGUGGACAUGUACUUGUAGAAGGCAGUGUAUGUUGUAUAGAUGAUGCUUGACCUUAUGAGUUGUAAUCCCUUUUGUAUAUACAUGGUCUGUUAUGAAACUGAUUGUAGUGUAUAUGUAUGUAUGAAAAACCAGGCUUAACAUUUUAUGAGAGGACCCGCCUAGAGCAAAGAUGAGAGCUCUAGCAGGGGUUUUAUGGUACAGCGUUAGUGCAUGCACAGGUUAAGCCUUGGAACAGAGAAAAGUUUAAAUGUUUACAGAAAAUGUAUGAUCAUGUUUGGGAUAUCACAGGUACACAGAGUGCACAGUAGGCUUACUACGGGUCCCGGCGGCCUUAAGCCGAUCUGGAUCCUAGUGCCGGUAGCAGUUCGGUUUUCGGGCUGUUACAAAUUGGUAUCAGAGCCCUAGGUUCUUAUGGUCGGACCUAUAGAGCGAGAGUCGGGCUCAUAGCGGUCAUAGUUGGUCAAGCACCAUAGGAAAGCAUGUCCACUAGGAUAGGAUGUCAGUCCUGUCUAUCUGAUGUGUGAAUUGCCAUGAGUUAUGCAUGUGCUGUAUAUGUUGCUAAUGUGCUAUGAGAUGUGUGUUGUGUUUCAUAGAGUAAAGAUGCGAGGAACUCGUCGAUCCGCGAGAUUGACUGGAGUCCCACUAGGAAGUGAGGGUACAGCUGCUCGUCCUCCUGCAUUGCCAAGGGCAAGAUCUCACAGGUCAAGCAGGGAAGGAACGUCACGAGACCCUAGAAGGUCUUCUGACGAGAGCAAAAGAGGAGUAGAGAGAGGGGGAAGAUCAGAGGAAGAAAGAGAGGUUUCGGAUGGUGGUCAGAGCAGAAGGUCUGAAGAAGGGAUGGGAGAGUCCCAAGGAGGCGCACAGGCCUCGGGGUUUAGCUAUCCACCCUUUCCACAGGGCCCGGGGUAUCCGAUGGGAGGUACGUCGGAUUUCUCCAGCUUUGCCCCAUAUCCACCUUAUAUGCCCUAUAUGCCUUAUCCUUCUUUUUACCCACCAUAUCACAUGUAUCCACCCCCACCUUCUCAUGCAAGUCCAGCACAACCUGAACCAAGAGAACCAGUACCUCCACCACCAGAACCUGUUGCCCCUGUUGUUGAAGCACAACAGCCUAGUUCAUCAGGGGGACAUAAGGUGAAGAUGACCGAGUACUUAAAGUUGGAUGCGCCUAAAUUCAAUACAGGAGAUGAUCCCUUUGAGUACCUGAGUGCAGUGAGAAUGAUAACCAGUGAAUUGGGAGCUGAUGAGAGCAGGGCCAUUGAGAUGGCAGGGUUCACAUUAAAGUGCAAGAAAGCAAAAGAAUGGUUCAAGAACUAUGUGGAGCCCAGAAUAGAUAGCAUGAUAUGGGAAGAGUUCGCCAAUGAGUUUGCGGGUGGGCUUUUCCUGACAGUGCCAGGGAGAUGAAGGUUGUCGAGUUCGAACAGCUGAGACAGACAGAGGAGAUGAGCGUUGAUGAGUAUACAGAUAAGUUCCUGGCAUUGUUACCAUAUGUUGGUCAGGCAUAUGAUACGGAUCAGAAGAAGGCAAGGAGAUAUGCCACAAGGCUUCACCCCAGGUAUUUCUCCUUGAUUCUUCCAGCAGAGAAAGAGAGUUUCCACUCAAUUGUGGAUGCAGCCAGAAAAAUGGAGGCAAGUGCCAUCAUACAGGGACCAGAAAAGCGACAGGUGGCACAGUGUUCAGGGUCUAAGACCCCAGUGCAGCGGUUUUUGGCAGCAGAAAGGGAGAGAAGUUUAAAUCCAAGAGAGGCAAGUUCUGGAGCAGGAUUAAGUCAGGACUGGGAAUGGGAAGUGGUUCCAGCUCGAGCACAGGUAGUUCAGUAUGUCAGAAGUGUGGGAAACCACAUCGAGGAGUUUGUCUGAUGGGAUCUACAGCCUGCUAUAGAUGUGGGCGAGAGGGACAUAUUGCAAGAGAAUGCCCCCAAGCGACCUUUAUGGCACCAUCCCAGCAGAUGACCUCAGGCAGUGUAGCACAGCCAGCAGCUUCAGCCGUACCACAGAGCAGUGGCAGAGGUAGAGGAAGAGGGUCAGCCUCUUCAUCAGGGAUGGGUUCCCGAGGUGCAGGUCCGUCAGCCCCAGCACGGAUUUUCACCAUGACGCAACAGGAGGCAGACACAUCGAACACAGUGGUGUCAGGUAAUCUCAUCAUUGGGUGUUUUGAGGUGUAUGCUUUGAUGGACCCCGGUGCUUCUCACUCUUUCAUUGCUUCUAGAGCCGCAGAGAGGUUGGGUUUGAUAGUCUCCGUGUUAGAGUGUCCUCUCUGGGUCAGUGGACCUCGAUGUGACCCAUCAUUGGCAGAGUCAGUUUGUCAAGUCAGUCCAGUGUGUAUAGAGGGUAGAUACCUUCCAGCUGACCUUGUGGUUCUAGAGUUGGCAGAUUUUGAUGUCAUUCUAAGGAUGGAUUGGUUAGCUACGUAUAAUGCUACCUUGAACUGCAGGGACAAGGUAGUCAGUUUCAGAGACCAGGAUGGGUCAGAGUGUGUCUUCAGAGGAGACAGGAGAGGGACACCUAAGGGUUUGAUAUCAACCCUCCAGGCUCGUAGGUUGUUGAGGAAGGGUUGUCAGGGGUUCCUAGCUCAUGUGAGAGAGCUAGACAUGCAGGUUAGGGAAUCAUCCUCAGUACCAGUUAUUAGAGAGUUCCCAGAUGUGUUUCUUGAAGAGCUUCCAGGACUACCACCUGUGAGGGAAAUAGAGUUCGAAAUAGAGUUAAUGCCUGGUACGAGACCGAUCUCUAUUCCUCCCUACAGGAUGGCACCAGCUGAGCUGAGAGAGUUGAAAGAGCAGUUACAGGAUUUGGUAGAUAAGGGUUUCAUCCGCCCGAGUACCUCACCUUGGGGUGCUCCAGUACUGUUUGUCAGGAAGAAGGAUGGACCUCUUAGACUUUGUGUCGACUAUCGGCAGUUGAACAAGGUCACUACCAAGAACAAAUAUCCUCUACCCAGGAUCGAUGAUCUAUUUGACCAGCUGUCAGGAGCAGGUUGUUUCUCGAAGAUAAAUCUAAGAUCUGGAUACCAUCAGUUGAGAAUCAGGGAAGAGGAUGUACCUAAGACAGCUUUCAGGACCAGAUAUGGGCAUUAUGAGUUCUUAGUAAUGCCGUUCGGGUUAACUAACGCCCCUGCAACAUUCAUGGAUCUCAUGAACAAAAUUUUUAGAGAGUACCUGGAUCGCUUUGUGAUUGUCUUUAUAGAUGAUAUCUUAGUGUACUCCAGGGAUGCAGAGGAGCAUGCCCAGCAUCUGAGGAUCGUCUUGCAGACUUUGAGGGAGCAUGGCUUGUAUGCCAAGUUCUCUAAAUGCGAGUUCUGGCUGAGGAGCAUUUCUUUCUUGGGGCAUGUCGUAUCAGAUGAAGGUAUAGCAGUGGACCCCAAGAAGGUAGAGGCAGUAGCCAACUGGCCUACACCCAUGACAGUAACAGAGAUCAAGAGCUUUCUGGGUUUGGCAGGCUACUAUCGGAGGUUCGUUCAGGACUUCUCGAAGAUUGCUGCUCCGAUGACUAGAUUAACCAGAAAGAACUAGAAGUUUGUAUGGUCAGAAGAGUGUGCAGAGAGUUUUGAAGAGUUGAAGAGACGGUUGACUUCAGCACCGGUGUUAGCUCUGCCGAUCAGUGAUGAAGACUUCACAGUGUUCUGUGAUGCAUCCCGAGUGGGAUUAGGUUGUGUGUUAAUGCAGAAUGACAGAGUGAUAGCUUAUGCUUCUAGACAGCUGAAGAAGCAUGAGCUGAACUACCCGACACACGAUCUUGAGAUGGCAGCUAUUAUCUUUGCACUUAAGAUGUGGAGGCAUUACCUCUAUGGGGUAAAGUGUGAGAUCUAUACGGAUCAAAAGAGCCUGCAGCACAUCUUAAGUCAGAGAGAGUUAAACUUGAGGCAGAGACGAUGGGUAGAAUUGCUCAGUGAUUAUGAUUGCAAGAUCCAGUAUCAUCCAGGUAAGGCUAAUGUGGUAGCUGAUGCCUUAAGCCGGAAGUCACUUGGCAGUUUAUCCCACAUUGCAGUAGAGAGAAGACCGAUGGUGAAGGACUUUUAUAGACUCAUGGAUGAAGGGCUACAGUUGCAGUUAUCUGGUACAGGUGCUUUGAUUGCACAACUGAGAGUGACACCAGUGUUUCUAGAGCAAGUGGCUCUGAAACAGCACGAAGACCCUGCGUUAGUGAAGAUUGCCAGGACUGUUCAGUCUGGUAACAGUGCAGAGUUCAGAUUUGACAGUGAGGGGAUUCUUCGUCACGGUAAGAGAUUAUGUGUGCCAGAUGACAACAGUUUAAAAGAGGACAUUAUGAGGGAAGCUUAUAAUGCAAGGUACAACGUUCACCCUGGAGCCACCAAGAUGUAUCAAGAUCUGAGAAGAGUGUAUUGGUGGCCAGCGAUGAAGAGAGAAGUGGCACAGUAUGUGUUAGCUUGCGAAACAUGUCAAAGGGUGAAGCUAGAGCACCAGAAGCCGGCUGGAAUGCUUAACCCACUGCCGAUUCCAGAGUGGAAAUGGGAGAACAUCGCUAUGGAUUUUGUCGUGGGCUUACCGGCGACGUCCAACAGGCUAGACUCCAUAUUGGUGAUUGUGGAUAGACUGACUAAAUCUGCUCACUUCAUUCCAGUCAGGAGUAAUUAUUCUGUGGACAAGCUAGCGCAGGUGUAUGUAGAUGAAAUAGUACGGCUGCAUGGAGUUCCUGUGUCAAUCGUAUCAGAUAGAGGACCUCAGUUCACCUCCAGGUUUUGGCGGAGUCUGCAAGCUGCUAUGGGCACAAGAUUGGAUUUCAGCACUGCUUUCCAUCCACAGACAGACGGUCAGUCCGAAAGGACCAUCCAGACCAUAGAAGAUAUGUUGAGAAUGUGUGUGUUAGACUUUGGCGGUUCUUGGAGGCAGCAUCUACCUCUGGUGGAGUUUGCCUACAGUAACAGCCAUCAUGCUAGCAUAGGGAUGGCCCCGUAUGAAGCUCUGUAUGGGAGGAAGUGCCGAACACCUGUUUGCUCGGAAGAGGUAGGAGAGAAGGCUCUUGCAGGGCCAGAGUUAGUCGAGCUUACCAGCAGAUUAGUGCCUAUCAUCAGAGAGAGGAUCAGAACAGCUGUCAGCAGACAUAAAAGUUAUGCAGAUGUCCGUCGGAAGCAGUUAGAGUUUCAAGAGGGGGAUAUGGCUUUGCUGAAGGUGUCUCCAAUGAAAGGCGUGGUUCGCUUUGGGAGAAAGGGAAAGCUAGCUCCACGAUACAUUGGUCCCUUUGAGAUUCUGCAAAGGAUCGGGAAUGUGUCGUACAAGCUGGAUUUACCUGCAUCUAUGGAAAGAAUCCAUCCAAUUUUUCAUGUUUCUAUGUUACGAAAAUUUGUGUCAGAUCCGGGGCAGGUUCUUAGUGAGCCUGCUGUGGAGAUUCUAGGAGAUCUCACAUAUGUCGAGCAGCCAGUGAGGAUCAUUGACACCCAGAUCAGAAAGUUGAGAAACAAGGAAAUUCCGAUGGUAAAAGUCCUGUGGAACCACCAUAACCUAGAAGAGUGCACCUGGGAGACAAGGGAGUCUAUGCUCCAGCAAUACCCAUAUCUGUUUUGAGGUUAGUUUUCCCCUUUUCUGUGUGUUUAUGUGCUUCUGUUUGAGGAACAUUCGGGGACGAAUGUUCUUAAGGGGGGGAGAAUGUAAUACCCGGCUCGAGUCCGGCCUCGGAAUUCCUGUAGUCUGGUGGAAUCUCGGGUGUCGGAACCCUCGAGAAGGGUAAGACAUAUGUUUUCUUAUGUAUGUUGACUUGUUUUAAGGUUUUACGUAUACAUGAAAAUGAGUUUUUAAAAGCAAAGAGCCAAGGGAGAAAAUGGCACGUUCGGCCGCCGAAGGUGACUUUCGGCCGCCGAACCUUGCAUGGUUUUGGAUGCACGUUUGGCCGCCGAAGGUGGUCUGGCCAGCCACCUAUAAAAGGGCGCCAAGUCGAUGGAAGGAUGAUAUUUUGCUUCCAUCUUCAGCCAGAGGUGAGUCCAACACCCUCCCUAGUUGACUUUCAUGAUCUUGCUCAGAUCUUGUAAGGGUUUGAAGAGUUUUCAUGUGUUUUUGAAGGUUUUGAGCGUUUUGAACUAAAGAACGACGUUUUGAAGUUUGGAGAGUUGUGAGGAGAUUUCUCCAUAUCUCCACGUUAGGAUCACUUGAUCUCUUGUUUGGAAGAGGUAAGUCAAGAUCCAGAACCUCUUUUACUGAUUUUUGAAGGUUUUAUGGGAGUUGGAUGGCUACUAUGCAUGAAUAGGGUUUUGGUUGAGGUUUUGUAUGAUUUUGUGUUUACGCAUGUUUAAGUGUUGUUUGAUAUGUUUCUUGGGGUUAUAAGUGAGUUUUAGGCCUUUUUCUGCAUGCUUUAUGGUAUGUGCUAGUUGGGCGUAGUUGAUAUGCAUGUUGGAUAAGUUUGGGGCAAAGUUUGCAUGAAACAGAGCAGGGUUCUGCCCAACGGGCAAAACUAGGUUCGGCCGCCGAACCCCUUGUGGAGGCAGUUUCGACUGCCAAAACUUGCCCCCGAAAGCUAGGCUUUCGGUUUAGAAAGGGACUUUCGGCCUCCGAAAGAGGAAGUUCGGCCGCCGAAAGAGGAAGUUCGGCCGCCGAAAGGGUGUGAGUUUCGUCUCUGGACGAGACCUUCGGCCGCCGAACAUGUAUGAGUUUCGUCUCUGGAGAGGGAUUUCGGCCGCCAAACCUGCCGCCGAAAGUGCUCUGUCCAGCUUUCUUUUGCAUAUUUUAUGUGAUUGUUUGGAGAUUGUUUAGAGGGUUUUUGGGGAGUUUCUUAGAGAUGUUCUUGAGUUAGUUUGGUCCCUCAUUUCAGUCCACCUGUGUAGGAACGGAUGAUAGAGCAUAAUUUAGUCCAUUUUAUAUUAAUAU
rnacentral:lncRNA from 1 species